UACGAGGGGGGCUAGCGUUGCUCGGAAUUACUGGGCGUAAAGCGCACGUAGGCGGCUUUCUAAGUCGGGGGUGAAAUCCUGGAGCUCAACUCCAGAACUGCCUUCGAUACUGGAGAGCUUGAGUCCGGGAGAGGUGAGUGGAACUGCGAGUGUAGAGGUGAAAUUCGUAGAUAUUCGCAAGAACACCAGUGGCGAAGGCGGCUCACUGGCCCGGUACUGACGCUGAGGUGCGAAAGCGUGGGGAGCAAACGGG
rnacentral:rRNA from 1 species